GAUGAACGCUGGCGGCGUGCCUAAUACAUGCAAGUCGAGCGAAUGGAUUAAGAGCUUGCUCUUAUGAAGUUAGCGGCGGACGGGUGAGUAACACGUGGGUAACCUGCCCAUAAGACUGGGAUAACUCCGGGAAACCGGGGCUAAUACCGGAUAACAUUUUGAACCGCAUGGUUCGAAAUUGAAAGGCGGCUUCGGCUGUCACUUAUGGAUGGACCCGCGUCGCAUUAGCUAGUUGGUGAGGUAACGGCUCACCAAGGCAACGAUGCGUAGCCGACCUGAGAGGGUGAUCGGCCACACUGGGACUGAGACACGGCCCAGACUCCUACGGGAGGUAGCAGUAGGGAAUCUUCCGCAAUGGACGAAAGUCUGACGGAGCAACGCCGCGUGAGUGAUGAAGGCUUUCAGGUCGUAAAACUCUGUUGUUAGGAAAGAACAAGUGCUAGUUGAAUAAGCUGGCACCUUGACGGUACCUAACCAGAAAGCCACGGCUAACUACGUGCCAGCCGCCGCAGUAA
rnacentral:rRNA from 1 species